UUGUAAUAAUUAGUAUACAACUAGGAUAGUCCUAGCAGAGGAUCACAAUAACUCCAUAGCUAUGAACAUAAAACCAUCUAAAAUGAUGGUAAUCAAAAUGAACUCCAAUAUAUGGAACAACAGUAUGUAUUUGAAUCCUGUCAUUCUUUUGAAGCUUUGCCUCUCCUUUCUAGAUUUAAGGUUGAACUCAGAUUCCUUAAGCUUUGUAGAGUAUUAACUCAAAGACUUAUUUCCCAGGAUUGAGUCUAGAGAAACAAAAUGAUUCCCUUCUCUGUCACUCUGGGAAUAAAUUAAAGAAAUAAUUAAUAGUGACAGCCAUUUGUAAUGUAUGAUUCUAAUUAAAAAAUACACUUGCUUUUCCCUGUUACAAUUGAUUUUUUUUUAGCACAACUACCAUAUUUUUGGUGUAAUUAAUAGAAGCUAUAAAUCUUUGAAAGCUGUUUCUUUAACAGCACAGUAACAUAGGAACAUGAGGUUUUGGGAUGACAUCCUCCUAGAUAUUUAGCUGAAAAUUGCUUGCAACGUUUAAUAAAUGUGUCAAAUGGAUUCUAACCAUGGUACAUAAAAAACCUGAAGCUGUCACAAAUUUACUUAGUUUCUCAAGUUCUUAUUUAGAGAGCUAUUAUUCCAUAAUAGUUGUCAUUAUAUUUGCAUUUCAUAGCUGGAAUAGGAAUUACAUUAUAGCAGUAUUGCUUAGGUUUUUUAAUUUAGAUUUUAUUAAAUGUAGUUCAUGUUUAUAAAUAUGCUGCAUACAUAUACACAUAUAUACUUCCUUUAAAUUGUUAUAAUGUCAUGAUUAAAUUGCAGUUAUUUUUUAAUAUGGCCACGUGGUAGGUAUGAACCAAUCUCCUGUGAAGGAACUGAGCUUAUUCUUUGCUUCCCAAUCUCCACAUUAUUCCUACUCCUCUUAGAGCCUUUGCUCAACAUUAUCAGUUUCUGGGA